AGAUUGAACGCUGGCGGCAGGCCUAACACAUGCAAGUCGAGCGGCAGCACGGGUACUUGUACCUGGUGGCGAGCGGCGGACGGGUGAGUAAUGCCUAGGAAUCUGCCUGAUAGUGGGGGAUAACGCUCGGAAACGGACGCUAAUACCGCAUACGUCCUACGGGAGAAAGCAGGGGACCUUCGGGCCUUGCGCUAUCAGAUGAGCCUAGGUCGGACUAGCUAGUUGGUGGGUAAUGGCUCACCAAGGCGACGAUCCGUAACUGGUCUGAGAGGAUGAUCAGUCACACUGGAACUGAGACACGGUCCAGACUCCUACGGGAGGCAGCAGUGGGGAAUAUUGGACAA
rnacentral:rRNA from 1 species